rnacentral:rRNA from 1 species
AGCGAACGCUGGCGGCAGGCUUAACACAUGCAAGUCGAGCGGGCACUCUCGGGUGUCAGCGGCGUACGGGUGGGUAACGCCUGGGGACGUGCGCUCAGAUUCGGAAUAACUCAGUGGAACUUGAGCUAAUACCGGAUACGCCCCUUUGGGGAAAGGCUUGCUGCCGGUGGAUCGGCCCGAGUCUGAUUAGAUAGUUGGUGAGGUAACGGCUCACCAAGGCGACGAGCAGUAGCUGGUCUGAGAGGAUGAUCCGCCACACUGUGACUGGGACACGUCCGAGACUUCGACGGGAGGGAGCAGGGGUGAACAUGCGACACCGGGCGCAAGCCUGAGCCAGCCGGGUCGUGUGAGUGAUGAAUGCGUUAGGAAUGUAAAGCGCUUUUAACCGCGACGAUAAGGCGGGAACCGGAGAAAGAAGCCCGGCUAACUUCGUG